CGAACCGAACUCUCUUUAACUGAGUUACUUGUACUGAAUCUAAGGAGUCAAACUUACCGGAUCAAAUCUUUUUGUACUGCCGGGAAAGACCCUCUGCCGGUGUUACACCAGAAUCUGUGACCAUCUGUGAUCCAACAAAAUACAAUAUUAUUUUGGGAGCUGUCCAUGAGCCCGGGAACUGGACAUUGACUGCAAUCUUUCCUUCUGAAAGAAGAAGCCCUUAUAUUGGAUCCCCUGGGAAAUGAUUAAAAA